GUAAAAAGUGUAACAUGCAGUUGUUCAUUCAAACUAAUCACUGUCAUUGAAAACAGGAUAAAAUUAUUGAUUUGAUUGUGUAACUCAUUCUUUAUGCAUUUUGAGACACCAAAACUGAACUAAAUAUACGUCCAAUAGACACAAACAAAAGUUUUAGAUUUCUCUCAAACAAUUUUUUUUUAUUCAUGACCUGCAGGUAAUAUUUUUAGUUUGAGUCGAAUUUGAAUUUGAAUUUGCACGUUGCACAGUCGGAGCACAUUCAGGUCCCAGUCUCAGAACGUGAGAGCUCUCUUUCGGUCGUUUACAUCCUUGGAGGAUUUUGUCGAAACAUAAACAAACACGUGGUCGCUCUCUUCAGUUCCCUGGCUGUAGCCUAUCUUCAUCCAACCUGAACAUAAUAUCUUGCAUCUACACUCUCUCAUUCUCCUCCCCUCUCCAGCCUUUCUCCUCUUCUCUCCACCAUCUCCUCCCCUCUCAUCUGCUCCUUUCUCCUCCUUUCCAUUCUCCUCCUCACCUCCUCUCUCCUCCCCUCAUGUUAAAUAUGUUACGGUUCAUAUGUUAAAGAUGAAUAAAUACAUUUAAAGUUA